GCUGAACUUAAGCAUAUCAAUAAGCGGAGGAAAAGAAACCAACAGGGAUUGCCCUAGUAACGGCGAGUGAAGCGGCAACAGCUCAAAUUUGAAAUCUGGCGCAAGCCCGAGUUGUAAUUUGUAGAGGAUGCUUCUAGGUAGCGACCGGUCUAAGUUCCUUGGAACAGGACGUCAUAGAGGGUGAGAAUCCCGUAUGUGACCGGCCCGCACCUUCUACGUAGCUCCUUCGACGAGUCGAGUUGUUUGGGAAUGCAGCUCUAAAUGGGAGGUAAAUUUCUUCUAAAGCUAAAUACCGGCCAGAGACCGAUAGCGCACAAGUAGAGUGAUCGAAAGAUGAAAAGCACUUUGGAAAGAGAGUUAAAAAGCACGUGAAAUUGUUGAAAGGGAAGCGCUCACAACCAGACUUCUGGGCGGUGUUCCGCCGGUCUUCUGACCGGUCUACUCACCGUCCCGAGGCCAACAUCAUCUGGGACCGCCGGAUAAGACCUCAGGAAUGUAGCUCCCCUCGGGGAGUGUUAUAGCCUGUGGUGAUGCGGCGCGUCUCGGGUGAGGUCCGCGCUUCGGCAAGGAUGUUGGCGUAAUGGUUGUCAGCGGCCCGUCUUGAAACACGGACCAAGGAGUCUAACAUCUAUGCGAGUGUUCGGGUGUCAAACCCCUACGCGUAAUGAAAGUGAACGGAGGUGGGAAGGGCAACCUGCACCAUCGACCGAUCCUGAUGUCCUCGGAUGGAUUUGAGUAAGAGCAUAGCUGUUGGGACCCGAAAGAUGGUGAACUAUGCCUGAAUAGGGUGAAGCCAGAGGAAACUCUGGUGGAGGCUCGCAGCGGUUCUGACGUGCAAAUCGAUCGUCAAAUUUGGGUAUAGGGGCGAAAGACUAAUCGAACCAUCUAGUAGCUGGUCCUGC
rnacentral:rRNA from 1 species